rnacentral:rRNA from 1 species
AGUGAACGCUGGCGGUAGGCCUAACACAUGCAAGUCGAACGGCAGCACAGUAAGAGCUUGCUCUUACGGGUGGCGAGUGGCGGACGGGUGAGGAAUACAUCGGAAUCUACUUUUUCGUGGGGGAUAACGUAGGGAAACUUACGGUAAUACCGCAUACGACCUACGGGUGAAAGCAGGGGAUCUUCGGACCUUGCGCGAUUGAAUGAGCCGAUGUCGGAUUAGCUAGUUGGCGGGGUAAAGGCCCACCAAGGCGACGAUCCGUAGCUGGUCUGAGAGGAUGGUCCGGCACACUGGAACUUGGACCCCGUCCCAGCUCCCUCGGGAGGGAGCAGUGGGGAAUAUUGGACAAUGGGCGCAAGCCUGAUCCAGCCAUACCGCGUGGGUGAAGAAGGCCUUCGGGUUGUAAAGCCCUUUUGUUGGGAAAGAAAAGCAGCAGGUUAAUACCCCGCUGUUCUGACGGUACCCAAAGAAUAAGCACCGGCUAACUUCGUG